rnacentral:lncRNA from 1 species
UUUAUUCAUUUCAAUUUGCAUAUUAAGAUAACAUAUAGCACCAUAUUACAAAAUGCAUAUCACAAAAAUAUAAUAGAUAUAUCUAUAAUCCUCGAUUAAUGGAUACAUGUAUCCAAUAAGAGGUAAUUAUUUAGCUAUAAAUAUAGAUAUUAUAAUAAUAUUCUCACACUCACAUUAUAUAAUAUAUAAUAAAACACAAGCCAUGGUGUCACAAUCUCAUUCAUGAUCAUGGCUGGCUUUUAGUUGGUGGAGUUAAAGAAUUUGUAGGAAAGCAAUCUGCUUUGUAGAUAUCACAAAAUAAGGGUGGAUCAAUAUUGAGCUCACAAAGUUUUUUCAACUCUUCACAAGAUAUCUGAGGAGGCACAAUUGGAGAUUGAGUUUGAGUAUCGUAAACAAGAUAAUGAUCUUUCUCUAUUUCAUCACCAUAAGCACAAUUGCCAUUCAGAAUUAAUGCCACAACAAGAACAACUACAACAAAUGAAGUAGUGAUGGUUUUUGCCAUAGUGUAUUAAAAUGAUAUUACACUUUUUUUAAUUUGUUUUUCUCUUAUUUCUUGGGAUGAAUUGGUUCCUUAAUCGCUCCAAUUUAUAGAGCUAAUGUUUUGCAUAAAUAACAAGUGAAUUUAAUACGGCUUUGCGUGAGGAAAAUAAUUUUCUUAAAAUUGAAGACCGAGGUGGAACCAUUAAUUAGUAUUAAGUAUUUUUAAUGUGUUGUUUCCUUUUAUGAUUAUUAUUUAAUUAAGGUUGAUUGACUAGCUUAUUAAUAGGAGUGAAUGACAUAGUGGAAAUUUUAUGUUGGUUGUGAGAAUUAUACUAUAUCAAGCUCAAAAAGCUUUGUGGUAAUUAAUUGAUAUUGGUGGUUGAAAACUAAUUUGCUUUCUAAUUAGGAACUAAUUGAACCAACUCUAGUUCAACCGUAGUUCGACUAGACUAGAAGUAUAGAUGUGAAUAGGAACCAUGAGUUAGCCCAAAUUAAUUGUAAAAAAAAUAAAAUUGAAACAACACUUAUUCAGUAAAUACCUUAUAAAAAUGAAAAUAAAUUAAAUUACUUAAAUUAAUUUUAACAAAAUAUCUCAUAUAUUUCAUGUUGAAACUUUUAUAAAAUUAUUAUCCAAAGUAAUUUACAUUAUUGUAAAAUUUCUUCAUCAAAACACAAUUUUACUAAUUCUAUAUAUCUUUAGGAGUUGUUUAAUUAUCUAUCUCAAAUUUCAGAAAUAUAUUGGAUUCUCCUUUAAAUUGGAGUGAAAUAUAUUACUGAAAUCGUAAGGUUAUAUUCAUUACAUGAUAAAUUUGUUAUUGACUUAUUUUUUCUCUUUUAAUUUAUUUAUUAUUGUCUGAUUCAAUUAUGAUUUAAUCUGUAGAAUCAAUUAAAUCGCAAUUCAAAAACUACGUCAAUUUGAUAUUAGAUUCAGUUUUUAAAACAUUGUCUUGCAUUUUUACCAGAAAAAAGUAAAACUGCAAUGUGUAGUGAAAAAUUUCAAUAGGGCAAAUGAAGCACAUGGAAUUAGACAAUUACAAAACAAUUUAAUUAUAAUUAUCAUUCUUUGUAGGAAGAAAUCUUGGAUGGUAUAACUUUCUAUAAUGUCCCAAAAAUAUAUUUGAAAAAAUUCAUAUACCUCUUUAAUUAUGUGUUUUGCUAGGUUUCCUUAGUUUAGAGAAAGUAUUUUCUUUAUGUUCUAUAUUUUGGUAUUAAUUUUUAAAAAGAUUAUACAUACUUUUGUUUAUGCGAUUAAAAUAUUACAUAUUAUUGAUAUCUAUUCCAUGUGAUUUUAUGUUAUUUAUAUUGACAUAAGUUAACACUUUUAUUGAUGGGAUGGGGUGGUAGUUAAGAUUUAAUUGCAUUUUGGGUUAGUGACACAUGGAACAUAAAGAAAAUAAAUAAUAUGAUAUUUCCAGAUUGCAAUAAAAAUAAAUAAAUAAAUAAUAUUGAGAUGCAUGUCUAAAGAAAUUUUGAUAUGAUUAUUUUGAUAUGUAGGUUAAGUGAAAGAUUGUUAAAAUAUUUUCCAAAAAUUUAUAUGCGAUAAUAUUUUAUAAUAACAAUAUUGAUAAAAUUGUUUAAUUUCACAUGGUUGAAAACAAAGUGAGCUCGUUAAACAUCUAAAAUAAAUAAAUAAGUUGAUAUGAGCUUUUGUAUAUAUAUGAGUGAACAAUGUUGGCCCAUUAGACAAUAAUUACACCUUUGUAUUCCGAAAUAUAAACAAAUACACAUUAAACUCUUUAAUGUUCUCCUAUUGUAAGUGUAGACCAAGAUCUUCAAUACACUUAAUCACCAUAACUCUUUAAUGUUCUCCUAUUGUAAAGGAGUAGGGGAUUAUUUAUUUCUCAAAAGAAAUUAAGAACGUAAUUACACAAUUUUGUAAUAAUGAUAAAUAAUGAGACCGUAUUUUAUUUUUAUUUUUUUGCAAUGGAGUAUAAAUUUUAUUCAUUUGUUAAAAGAAAUAUAAAUUUCAAUUGCUAAUGUUAGGGGGUGUUUGUUUGAAGUCUAAAAAUCACAUUCCCAAUCCCAAGAAUACAUGGAAUGAAAAUGAGUAUUAUUUAUUAGAAGGUUGAGAGAAAAAAUAUUAUUCCAAAACAUAAAAAUUUCUAGGAUAUAGAGAUAACUUUCUUAAUUCCCAUGGAAUUUUAUAUAAUAAUUUUUAAAAAAUAAAAUCUUAUAACUAUCAAUUUUUCGAAGAAGGUAAUUUAAUUGUAGGCCAAACACAUGCUUAAUAAAUUAUCCAUGAAUCAAAUAUUAAUCCUUAUAUUCCCAAAUAAAUUUAUUAGAAUAAUUUUUUAGUUUGCGAAACAAACACCAAGGCCCAUAAUUUUUGAAUGGUGACAUAAUCAAACACUUAUAUAUACUCAAAAUUUUAAUAAUGAAAUUCUCCAUUUCAUUUUAAAAAUGACAGAUAAUUUCUGUUAUUGAAAAAAAUUGUUUCCUCUACAUAAUUGAUGGGAAAAAUACACAAGUACAAAGAUAAAAUUUAUUUAUUUUAUAUAAUGUUGAUAUACAUCACCAUAACACAUUAAUAUAUCACCAUGUAGAUUACAAAAUCCAUAUCACAAAAAUAUAAUAUAUCUAUAUUCCUCGAUUCAUGGAUCGACAUAUUCAAUAAGAGGCCCCACCUAUGAAGAUAAUUUAUUUAGCCAUAUAUAUAAUUUUUAUAUUAUAAGAACACUCACACUCACACAACAUUAUGUAAUAGAUGAAUAUGUGAAUAAUACACUAUUCAUGAUCAAGGAUGGAUUUGAGGUUGUGGAGCUUCACUAGGAAGGCAAUUCUUUUGGUAGAGAGGACAAUAAUAGGCAGGAUCAACUGUCAAACAAAACUUAUACCAAAUCAAACAUUCAAAAAACGAUAUUGUCUUUUGAGAUUUGUAAAUGGAAUCAUCUUUCUCUUUUCUAGCACCAUCCACACUAUAGCCAUUCAUCAUCAUAAUUGCCACAACAACAACAACUAUAAAAAAUGAAGCAGUGAUGAUUUUUGCCAUAGUAUUUCAAUUAGAAGAAGAUUAUAUAUGCUUCUUGUGUUUUUCUAUUAUUUAAUUUAAUUGCAUGGGAUGAAUAUUUGGUUCCAAAAUCUUUCCAAUUUAUAGGACCAAUGUUUUCUUUAAAUGACAAGCUUAUGAAUUCAAUUCGACUUUGCGUGAGGAUAAUGAUUUUCUUAAAAUUGAACACCAUGUGGAAAGCAUUGGUAUUAAAUUUUGAGCAGCACAUUUUUUAAUAUACACAUUUUAAUAUGUUAUUUUUUUAUGUUUAAAUGUAAUUUUUAGUUAUUUUAUUUUUAUCAAUUUACAAAUUAGGUCCUUUUAUUUUAAAAUCUGAUAAAUUUUAUCUUUCAUUAUAAUUUUUUAACUAAAAAAUAACGAUAUAAUAUGUUUUAAAUGAUAUGACAAAUGAUACGAUAAGGUAAAAUGAUCGAUAGUCAUAAAAUUGCAAUAAAAUUCAAUAAAAAUAUCAUUUUCAACUUCAGAAAUUGUUCAUUUUUGUAACUUAAUUAAUAUCAUAUGAAUAGUUAGUAUAUCUAAAUUAUUCUAUAUCAUUAAAUCAUAUGUUACAUAAUUUAAAUAUAUCAAAUUAUCAUUUCUUAGUUCAAAAUUCUAAAGGAGAGAUCAAAAUUGUCGACUUUUAAAAUAUAGAGACUAAUUUCCAUGAAUUUGUGAAAAUAAAAAGACUAAAAUUACAAGUAAACCUAUUUUUUAUUGGUUGAAAUUAACAUGAUCUAAUUAAAUUUUGUAGAUUAAAAUUUAUGGGAAUUCAUAUGAAUUUUAAUCAAUAAAAUAAAUAUAUUAAAAAAUGUAAAAAAAUGUGAUGUUAUCGUUAUUAAUUUUUGUCAGGUAUGAUUUCCUUUUAUGAUUGUUGUUUAAGGUAUGAUCGACUAGCUUAUUAAUAGAAGGAAAAAAUGACAUAGGGGAAAUUUGCCGUUGGUGGUGGGAAUAUAUAUCAAGCUCAAAGAGCUUUGUGGUAAUAAUUAAUUGAUAUUGGUAGUUGAAUACUAAUUUGCUUUCUAAUUAAGGUGAAGUUAUUGCAUUGUAGAAAAUACUUUGGGUAUGAUUGCUGGAAUUUGUAAAUGAUAUAUAUAUAUAUAUAUAUAUAUAUAUAUAUAUAUAUAUAUAUAUAUAUAUAUAUAUUUAAUGAAAUGUUAAACACCACUAAUAAAUUUAUAUACAAAAUAAAGAUUUUAAAUUCAAAUCAAGAUCACUAUAGAAAAUGUACAAUAAAUUUAAAAGUUUGAAAACUCAUUUUACUUAUAUGAAAUUGAUUUGUAAACUCAACUUGUAAACUCGUACUAGUUUACUUAGUAUAAAAGUAAUAGAAAAACAAUGUGAUUAAUCCAAUUAAGCCCAAAGUAAAAGCAAAUCAAUUAUCGUUUUGUAGUCAAUGUGGAUGAAGGUCUCUAAAAGAAGAUGAAAAAGUAAAUGAGAAAGGAGUAUUGAUAGAAAGAAGCAUAUAUAUUAUUUAAAAUGAUACUUUUAAUUUAAACUAUUUAUUUUAAUCUAACAGUUGAUAAGUGUUCAUAUCAUUGUUAUAAAAAAAAACAUUAAAUAUAUAAACAUUAAAUGUCUCAUAUAAUUAAGGUAGAUGAAAACCGUAUGAGGGGAUUGGUGUGUGAAAUAGGAUUAAUGUUGACUUGUUGAUUUUUUUAUAGAAGUAUUAUAAAUAAAAAAUAAUUAAGUCAAAUGAUGCUAUAGAAUAACAAAUGCAAGCAAAUCGGAAAACACGCGUAGUAUCCUUAUAAUUUUUAAAAUAUUAAUUAAAGAUUUGACUAUCUUUAUAUUUAAAAUGGUCUGAUUGAUAUCAUUUUAAUAAAUUGAAAUUUUUUUAAGAAAAAUUAAUUUUUUCUUUAUUUUUUUUAAACAAAUUUUGAUCAAAUCAUUGUCUCAAUAACAUAGAUCAAAAAGACAAUUAUAAGAAGUAUCGUUGACAUUCACUAAAAUUUUGAGUAAUUUGUAAAUAUUCAUCAACGGUAAAUCAUCUACCGUAGUAUUCCCCAAUCAAAUUCAUGCUUUAACAUUCAUGAACUUUUCCUUCCAUUUAGCUAAUAAAAAUAGAUUGAACAACUCAACAUCCUUUAUAGUGGAAAAUUAAUAAUUCGACAUCUACUUUAUGUUUAUUGAUAAUUGGACAUAUAAUUCAUACAAUCAGAGUUUAAUAGUAAUUUUUUUAUUAAUAAUAAUUAUGAAUCUAUAAUUGAUUAGUUAAUCAGUCAAAUAUAAGUAAAUAUUUUCAAAAAACUCAAUAUCAUAGAACUUGAUUUUGAUUAAACUUUUAAAAUAUAUCUAAUAACUUUUAUUUCUUCAAAUAAAAUUUAACAAAAAAAUUACGAGAACUAUCAUAUUUUAGAUAAAUUUCAAUAUAUUUGAAAGUUUAAUUUCAAGUUAUUAUCAAAUAAAGAUUUAAUCUUUUCAAUGCUAACCAAAAAUAUAAACAUAUGAACGUAUAAGUUAUAUUACUGAAAUCUUUUUAUUUUGUUAGUCGAUUGAUUGAUCUAUAAUAUAUAAAAAUAACAUAAAUAUUCACCGGGGUACUCAAUAUUUGUUGUGUGCUUUCCUAUGGAUGCUUAUAAGUGUUUUUCCUAUGAAUUUGAGAUUUUUGAACAAUCAAACAUUCAAUCUACAUUUAUUGGCAUGUUUUAUCAACACCUACAAUAGCAUUUUCAAAUACACACUCUCUAUAUAUUUUCAAUUUAUGUAAUCAAAUAUUUUAUUAGUUAUAUAGCUACAUCAAUAUACAUAUUAUUUUUACAUAAACUUUUGCUAAAAGACUCCUCAACGAACUCAAAAUUUUAUACAAAAUCAAUCUAAACAAGGAUCAAAUAUUACAAUUAUUAUAAUAUAUAUAGAAAAAUAAUGAGACAAAAGGAUGAAAGAAAUUAUUGAUUGAUUAACAUAGACAUAAUUAUAAGAGUUUUCGAGGAUGGUGAUCAAAUAGGGCAAAUGGCAUGGAACCUUUAAGGGACUAGUUUCGUUUUUUUUUUUCUUUAUUUCUUAUAAUAGAGGGCAAAAAGGCUAGAUAGAGUUAAAAAAAUUAUUAGGUAUUAAAGAGAAAAAGAGAUUACUAGAAUUAGAUAUAAUUAAUUAGAAUAUGUUUACCUCAAAUUCUUUCAUAUGAUUCUUUUUUGUUAUUUAGUUUAAAUAUUUUUAACUUUAUUACACACUAUUUUUUUUAUUAAAAAAAAAGCAUAUAAUUCAUGUUUUUCCAUUUUUUUUUCCUAAAAAUGGUUAUAACUCAUACGACAUUUAAGUAUUAUUAAUAUUAAUUACAGAAAAGGAUAAAACAAAAUCAUAAUGAAAUUAAAUAUAUCAUUCGGUAAAUAAAAAAUAUUAGGUACAUCAAUUAUUAUGUUUUGUAUUAUUUUUAAAUCAUAACAUUAUAAUUUAUAGGCAUAAUUGCUAAUGCGGUCCUUUAACUUAAUUUCAGAUAAUACUUUCAUCCUUUAUCUUUGUUUCCUCUUUUCGAUUUGGUCCUUUAUUUAAUUUUAAGUAUACAAUUUGAUAUUUUAUAUUUUACAAUAUUAAUAAUGUUAUCUUUUUUUUAUAAAAAUUCAUUAAAAUUUUCAAACAAAACUCAUAAAAUUAGUUAUCAUCAUCAAUAUAACGUAAAUUUCAUUAAAUUUAUAAUUUAAAUAUUCAAAUAAAUUCAUAUUUUCAUUCUUUAUAUUUUCAAAUUUUUUACUGUUUAAUUAAGUGUAUUGAUGUGGUGUUGGUCAGAUUUAAUUGCAUUUUAUAACAAUAAAAUAUUAACAUAAGAUUUUCUUUAAAGAAGAGAUUAAAAUUUAUAAUAUUAUAUAAAUUUAAAAGUAGUAAAAUUUAGUAGCGGAUCGGGUUCAGGGACUAUGACGGGACAAAUCAAGAAUUCUAAGAUCAUCCAUCUCUAAAUUUUUAUUUUAAGAAAAAUGUUCACCUAUAUUCCAUCAAAACAAAGUUUCUGUUCAAAAUCGAGACAAGUCCAAAUAAAUAUUGAUAAUGCAUGUUGUGUUCUCACGCUACAUAGAUUUUCUUAUGUCACACUAUGUAAAGCUAAAUAAGAAUUGUUGUGCAAGAGAUAGGGAAAAAUACAAGAAAGUAUAUAAAUUAACUCUAUUUAUUUCAAUUGCAUAUUACCAUAACAUAUAGCACCAUAUUACAAAAUGCAUAUCACAAAAAUAUAAUAGAUAUAUCUAUAAUCCUCGAUUAAUGGAUACAUGUAUCCAAUAAGAGGUAAUUAUUUAGCUAUAAAUAUAGAUAUUAUAAUAAUAUUCUCACACUCACAUUAUAUAAUAUAUAAUAAAACACAAGCCAUGGUGUAACAAUCUCAUUCAUGAUCAUGGAUUGCUUUUAGUUGUUGGAGUAAAAGAAUUAGUAGGAAGGCAAUACGCUUUGUAGAUAUCACAAAAUAAGGGUGGAUCAAUAUUGAGCUCACAAAGUUUUUUCAACUCUGCACAAGAUAUCUGAGAAGGCACAAAUGGAGAUUGAAUUUGAAUAUCGUUCUCUAUUUCACCACCAUAAGCACAAUUGCUAUUUAGAAUUAAUGCCACAACAAGAACAACUAGAACAAAUGAAGUAGUGAUGGUUUUUGCCAUAGUGUAUUAAAAUGAUAUUGCACUUGUUUUAAUUUGUUUUUCUCUUAUUUCUUGGGAUGAAUUGGUUCCUUAAUCACUCCAAUUUAUAGAGCUAAUGUUUUGCAUAAAUGAGAAGUGAAUUUAAUUCGGCUUUGCGUGAGAAUAAUAAUUUUCUUAAAAUUGAAGACCGUUGUGGAACCAUUAAUUUGUAUUAAAUGUUUUUUACGUGUGGUUUCCUUUUAUAUGAUUGUUAUUUAAUGUUGAACGACUAGCUUGUUAAUAGAAGGAAUAUAUCAAGCUCAAAAUCUUUGAGGUAAUUAAUUGAUAUCAAUGUUUGGAAACCUCUUCUCUAAAUUCACUAAGUGAAAUGCUUAAUUAAAAGUCCAUACAGUUAGAAAAGUCUAACAUAGUCGAAUGCAUUUGUUUAAGAUUUUUUUAAGAAUACCAACAUUAUUUUAUUGCAAAAUUACUAAGAUGAAAGUGUACUAUUCAACACUUACCUAUUAGACAAUAUUAUUAUAUAUUAGUAAGGGUAUUUUAGACUUUCAUAUUCUCUUGUAUAUAUACAUAUUAUAAUCCUAUUACAUUUAAGUUUGGUUCAUUUGUUUGUCAAACCCUAGUCAAGGGUUCUUUCUCUUCUCCCUUUCUCUUUUUCCUCUUCUAUGUUUAUGUUAGAUUAUCAUUGUUAACAUGGUAUUAAAGAGCUUUGAUUGAUUAUGGGAUCUACUCUAAAGUGGGAUCUAUUGUGCCACCCGUUUUGCGGCCGAUACCGAUUUACUUCCUCUAUUUUCCGGCGCGAUUCUACCUCUCUAAUUCUGGUUCGAUUCUGCUAUUUUGUCUUCAGCGCGAUUCUGCUCUUCUGUUUCUGGCGUGGUUCUGCUCUUCUGUCUUCGACACGAUUUUGUUUGAUUCUUUGUUGAUUCUGCUAUUGACAGGUUAUCCCUAAUUUGUUGUCUCAGUGAUUGCGUUUUUCGUAUUUUCUUGUCAUUAUUUGUUAUGGCUGGUGCUAAGGAUGAUUCACUUCAAGUUGUUAGUGUCAAUCUCAAUGAAAAAAAUUACUCUUAUUGAAGUUAUGUGAUGAAAAAAAAUUGAUUGGAAAAGAUAUGUAGAGUUAAGUUGAUGGAACUUCUGUUAAGCUUGCAGAUAAAAAGGAUGAAGCUAAAUAUGCAAAAGAUCUUAAACAGAGAAUGUUAGUAAUUCAAGAAUUAUUACUUAGAUUAAUAAUUUUGUUGAGUUGUCUAUAGGAGUGCAACUAGCAAAUAUGAUACUGCUAAAGAGAUUUUGGAUCACUUGAAACAUUUGUAUGUUCAGUCUAACUUUGUCAAACGUUAUCAGCUGAAAAGUGAUAUUAGGGCCCUUAAGUAGAACAAUAUGACCAUUCAGAAAUUCUACUCGACAAUGACUAAUUGUGGGAUCAAUUGACUCUUAUAGAAUUAAAUGACUAAUUUGUUGAUUCUGCUAUUAACAGGUUAUCCCUAAUUUAUUUUAUCUCAGUGAUUGUGUUUGUCGUAUUUUCCUGUCAUUAUUUGUUAUGGUUGGUGCUAAGGAUGAUUCUCUUCAAGUUGUUAGUGUCCACCUCAACGAACAAAAUUACUCUUAUUGAAGUUAUGUGAUGAAAAAAAAUUUGAUUGGAAAAGAUAUGUGGAGUUAAGUUGAUGGAACUUUUGUUAAGCUUACAGAUAAAAAGGAUGAAGCUAAAUAUGCAAAAGGUCUUAAACAGAGAAUGUUAGUAAUUCAAGAAUUAUUACUUAGAUUAAUAAUUUUGUUGAGUUGUCUAUAGGAGUGCAACUAGCAAAUAUGAUACUGCUAAAGAGAUUUUGGAUCACUUGAAACAUUUGUAUGUUCAGUCUAACUUUGUCAACCGUUAUCAGCUGAAAAGUGAUAUUAAGGCCCUUAAGUAGAACAAUAUGACCAUUCAGAAAUUCUACUCGACAAUAAAUAAUUUGUGGGAUCAAUUGACUCUUAUAGAAUUAAAUGACUAAUUUGUUGAUUAUGCUAUUAACAGGUUAUCCCUAAUUUAUUUUAUCUCAUUGAUUGUGUUUGUCGUAUUUUCCUGUCAUUAUUUGUUAUGGUUGGUGCUAAGGAUGAUUAUCUUCAAGUUGUUAGUGUCCACCUCAACGAACAAAAUUACUCUUAUUGAAGUUAUGUGAUGAAAAAAAAUUUGAUUGGAAAAGAUAUGUGGAGUUAUGUUGAUGGAACUUAUGUUAAGCCUACAAAUAAAAAGGAUGAAGCUAAAUAUGCAAAAGAUCUUAAACAGAGAAUGUUAGUAAUUCAAGAAUUAUUACUUAGAUUAAUAAUUUUGUUGAGUUGUCUAUAGGAUUGCAACUAGCAAAGUAUGAUACUGCUAAAGAGAUUUUGGAUCACUUGAAACAUUUGUAUGUUCAGUCUAACAUUGCCAAACGUUAUCAGUUGGAAAGUGAUAUUAGGGCCCUUAAGCAGAACAAUAUGACCAUUCAGGAAUUCUACUCGGCAAUGACUAAUUUUUGGGAUCAAUUGGCUCUUAUAUAAUCAACUGAGUUGAAAGCUGUCAAAGCGUACAUUGAUCUAAGGAAGGAGCAACGUCUGGUUUGGUUUCUUAUGGCUCUUUAUGAUGAUUUUGAGGGCUUUCGUGGGGGUAUUUUGCAUCGUUCCCCUCUUUCUAAUGUUGAAUCAAUAGUUAGUUAAUUGUUGGCAAGGUUUAAGACUCAUUCUGGUUGUCAGAUAAAGGAAUUCUCUCAAUUCCUCCAUCUAUUUUUGUUGCUCCUGUUCAAAAAGGAAAAUCUCAAGGGAGGGUUGGGUUUGGUAAUGAUGAAUGUACAUUUUGCAAAGAAAAAGAUCAUUAGAAAACAAAUUAUCUUAAAUUAGGGAGAUCACAUAAGAAGAAUUUUAGGCGGCCAUCGUCCAAUGUUGUUGCUUUUGCUCCUCAUAUCAUUGGCUCUAGUUCUAAUUUUGUAUACUCAUCUGAGAUUGCUUCUCAAAUAUAUGAUAUUGUAGAACAACUUCAAAAACUUAUUACCACUCAAUCACAUGCCAUGUAUGCCACCUAUUCUAAAGGUUUGAACUCCUCUAGUAUGUCAGGUAUAUCUCCUUCCAUAUGGAUUAUUGAUUCUGGAGCAUCUCACCAUAUGACAUAUGAUGAUAAAUCUUCUGUGUCGGUUAUGACUGCUGAUGGUACUCAUAUGCCAUUAGCAGGCAUUGGUUAUGUCUCCACGCCUUACUUGUCUCUUUCUGAUGUUUAUUAUAUUCCUAAUCUCACUAUGAUUCUUGCCUCUGUUAGUCAAAUAUGUGAUAUCAAUUAUUCAGUUAUAUUUUCUGCCACUUGUUGUUGUGUGCAGGAUCCACAUUCCAAGAGGCUGGUUGGGACAUGCCAUAGACAAGGGGAAAUUUAUAUUUUGGAUGACCCAUGAGUCCUAGAUACUACAGCCUCAACAACUACUACUGACUUAUUUUCUAGUUUUCGCUUGAAUUCUUCGUCUUCUAGUUUUUAUUUAUGGCAUUCUCACCUUGGACAUGUUUCUGCUUCUAGAUUAAAAUAUUUGGUUUUUACUGGAGCUUUAGGAGAGUUACAAACUAGUGAUAUUUCAUAUUGUUGUGGUUUUAAACUUGUUAAAUUUACAGCUUUACCGUUUAGUAAAAGUGUGUCAGUUUCAUAUGCGCCUUUUGAUUUAGUUCAUUCUGAUGUUUGGGGUCCAUCACCGGUUCUCACCAAAGGUGGAUCUAGAUAUUAUAUUUCAUUUAUUGAUGAUUACACUCGUUAUUGUUGGGUUUAUCUGAUAAAAAUUCGAUCUAAAUUUCUUGACAUUUAUCAUAUGUUUCGUGGUAUGGUCAAGACUCAACAUAAUACUACUAUAAAGUGUUUUCGCUGUGAUUUAAGUGGUGAAUAUACAUCUAAUAAAUUUUCCAAAUUACUUGAUUAUGAUGGCACCAUCCACUUGUCAUUUUGUACUGAUACUCCUCAACAAAAUAGAGUUGGUCAAAAGAAACAUCGUCAUAUUAUUGAGACUGCUCGUUCUCUUUUGUUGUAUGCUUCAGUUCCUAGUGAGUUUUAGGGGAAACAGUUCUUACUGAUGUUCAUGCUAUUAAUAGAAUUCCAUCAUAUGUCAUAUCAAGUUUAUCUCCCUUUGAAAAAUUGUAUGAUUUUAUCUCUGAUUACUAUUCUCUGAAAUUUUUUGAUUCUACUUGUUUUGUUCUUCGUCCACCAAUAGAGCACAAUAAGUUGUCUUCUUGGUCUGCCAUGUGUGUUUUUCUCGGUUAUGAGGAUGGUUAAAAGGGUUAUCGUUGUUAUGAUCCUCAUGCAAGAAAACUAUAUGUUUCUCGCAAUAUUGUUUUUCUUGAGCACAUCUAUUUUUACUUUGUUUCCUUUGAUUCUUAGAUUAUUAAGAGUUCAGAACUAACCUAUAUUGAUUCGUUUGGUUCUAAUGAUAAUGUUUCUAGUGAUUGUAAUAUUGAGAAUUGCAUGAAAAAUACUACUACUCCACAUGAUGACACCCCCUUAUCCCCCCAUCUGUCAAACCACCUCCUACGAUUGUUGAUCGUCCAUCUCAGCCUCUUCGUUAUCCCUCUUGUCACUGUAAAUCUACUCAGUUACUUGAUUUUGUCUAUUGCACUUAUUCAGCUUCAUUUGCUUCUUUCUUAACCUUUAUUCACAGUUUGUUUAAGCCAUAUUCCUAUAAGGAGGUUAUUCUUGAUCCUCUUUGGCAGCAUGUUAUGGCAAAAGAACUCUCUGCAUUGCACAAAAUAGGUACUUGGGAAUUAAUAGCUCUUCCUCCUAGAAAGUGUGCUAUUGGGUAUCGUUGGGUAUACAAGAUUAAAAUUAAGUCUGAUGAGUCGGUUGAGCGCUAUAAAACACGUCUUAUUGUUAAGGGAUUCUCUCAACAAUAUGAUAUGGAUUAUGAAGAAAAUUUUGCUCUUGUAGCCAAGAUGACCAAUAUCCGUACUCUUAUUGCAAUUGCAUCUAUACAUCAAUGGCAUAUUUCUCAAAUGGAUGUCAAAAAUGCAUUUUUAAAUGGUGAACUUCAUGAAGAAGUCUAUAUGGUCCCUCCACACGGGGUUUCUCAUAAUCAAGGGGAAAUGUGUAAGUUAAAAAAGAAUAUCUACAGUCUUAAACAGACUCCUCGAGCUUGGUUUGAGAAAUUAUGUAUUGUGAUCACUUGGUCUUAAACAGACAUUGUCUCUCGCUCUUCUACAGAAGUUGAGUAUUGUGUUAUGACAUCCACUACUGCUGAAAUAAUUUGAUUGUGUUGGCUUCUAUCUGAUAUCGGUAUCUCUCUUUUUGAGCCAACUCCAAUGCACUGCGAUAACAAGAGUGAUAUUCAAAUUACUCAUAACUCGGUCUUUCAUGAACACACCAAACACAUUGAGAUUGAUUUUCAUCUUACCCGCCAUCAUCUUCAGCAUGAAACCAUUACUCUACCAUUUGUCUCUUCUUCCUUACAGAUUGCUGAUUUAUUCACAAAGAUGCAUUCCAUUAAAAGUUUUCGAUUUUUGGUUGACAAACUCUCGAUGUUUCAUGUUAAUGCAUUGUGAGUUUGAGAGGAGAUAUUAUAUAAUAUCAUUAUAUAUUAGUAACGGUAUUUUAGACUUUUAUAUUCUCUUGUAUAUAUACAUAUUGUAAUCUUAUUACAUUUAAGUUUGGUUCAUUUGUUUAUGAGACUCUAACCAAUGGUGCCUUCUCUUCUCCCUUUCUCUUCUUCCUCUUCUAUGUUUAUGUUAGAUUAUCAUUGUUAAUGUAUUUGUUUAAGAUUUUUCAAGAAUACCAACAACAUUUUAUGGCAAAAUUCUUUAUUUUUAGUCAAGUUUUUUCUUUUUAGUCAAGGCGUUCAAAAUAAACAAAUGCAAGCAAGAUCUUGGAUGAAAGUGUACUAUUCAACACUUAUCAACAACAACAAAAUAGCAAAAAAAUUAUUUCUAAAAAAAAUCUAUGAUUAGAUUCUCAUCUAGAAGUCUUAAUGGUCAAGGAAUUGCACAUAAAAUUUCGAUAAAUAACUAAUAAAAACGUAAGAGAAGAUCUUACACAAAAAGUAAACUCGAUUCAAUACCUAUUACAACAAAAAGAAAAGUAUUAUUCAUGUUUCAAAUGAAAAAUAAAUCUUUCAAAAAAAAUUUAACCAAUUUAUUUCAAUAUUUCAAAUUCUUUUUAGUGGAUAUACAUUGUAUUAUUCUUCUCAAAUUAGAAGUGUUGCAGACACCUUUUAAUUAUUGUAUUAUUCAUCCAAGUUAUAAGUAUUGCAAACAUCUUAUACUUACUAUUAAAUAGAAAUUAGUUAUUUUAAAGUACGUAUAUAAAUUUCAUUAUUAUAACUUAUAUUAGACCCAUCAUGAUUCGGAGCUUAUCGACAAUCAUAUCAACCGUCCAAUACACAAAGUUUCAUAAGAAUUUAUCAAUAUUUUAAUAAUGCUUUAACAUGAUUGGUUAGCUUUGUCAAAAGAAAUAUAAUCAAUUAACGAAUGAAUAGGAUCAUUACUAAUUUUAUGGCGUAAUUUGAUAACUUAUUGUUGGCACGUAUAAACACAUACACAAUUCUUGUGAAUUGUGAUACAUGAGAAAACGAGUUAUGUUAUACAAUAAGUAUAGAUUGUGAUCAUAUUUAAAGUUCAGAAAAAUCAUUCAAAAUGACUUGUGACUGGAGAUUCAAAAUGACGCAUGUGGAAUACCAAAUAUGCCUUUAAUACGAAGUGUUGUUGCUACAUCUUGUUAGUUAAACAAAUUAUUUUACAAUUUAUUCGUUAACUAAGUAUAAGUUUUUUGUUUUUGUCCAUUAUUAGAUUGCAUUAUUAGAAUUGUGACGUUUUUCAAUCAAUAUAGUUAUGUGUUUGAGCUUUGUAACAAAAUUUUGAUGUGCCUUUGUUUGUCUUUCAGGAUAGUUAUCAUGCGAUUUGUUGAAGUGUGCUCAUGGAAUAGGAAGAUUUUCAUUAAAGACUUAACAUGUAAGUGAUUAAUUGAUUCAUCAUAAUUCACUUGUUUGUUCUUAUUUUCUGCUCACAUAUACUAUAUACUAUUUUCAUUUUACUCUUUUUAUAUGUUUAAUUUAUCUUAUUCUAGUGAUGGGAGAGUUUAAAUUUAUACGUUUUCCUCUUAGUAAUUAAGCUACGUGAAAAUAUAUUUUACAAUUUACACAAUCGUUCAAUCUUAUUUUAUCUUAUUAUUACUUCAUUUUGUUAUAUUAAAAAUUAUAUGUACAUAUAGUAAGAUGUAAUUGGAUGCAUGUAAAAAAAAUUGUUUUACACUUACCAUACAUAUCAUUAAUGUUUUCCAUCAUCAAUUCCUUUUGUAUAAUAGAAGAGAUUUAUUUUUCAUUACUAUUUAUGUCCUUAAAUAUAGGAUCUCAUUUACUAAAUUACAUAAUUAAAAUAGUAAAUAGUAGUAUUAAAUUUAUAAAUAAUUAAUAUUGUUUUUACAUGUUUACUCUUG